UACGGGGGGGGUAAGCGUUGUUCGGAAUUACUGGGCGUAAAGGGCUCGUAGGCGGCCAACUAAGUCGGACGUGAAAUCCCUCAGCUUAACUGGGGAACUGCGUCCGAUACUGGAUGGCUUGGAUUUGGGAGAGGGAUGCGGAAUUCCAGGUGUAGCGGUGAAAUGCGUAGAUAUUCGCAAGAACACCAGUGGCGAAGGCGGCUCACUGGCCCGGUACCGACGCUGAGGUGCGAAAGCGUGGGGAGCAAACAGG
rnacentral:rRNA from 1 species